rnacentral:rRNA from 1 species
AUUGAACGCUGGCGGCAUGCCUUACACAUGCAAGUCGAACGGUAACGGGCCUUCGGGCGCCGACGAGUGGCGAACGGGUGAGUAAUGCAUCGGAACGUACCUUUCAGUGGGGGAUAACGUAGCGAAAGUUACGCUAAUACCGCAUAUUCUGUGAGCAGGAAAGCAGGGGAUCGCAAGACCUUGCGCUGAUUGAGCGGCCGAUGUCAGAUUAGCUAGUUGGUGAGGUAAAGGCUCACCAAGGCGACGAUCUGUAGCGGGUCUGAGAGGAUGAUCCGCCACACUGGAACUGAGACACGGUCCAGACUCCUACGGGAGGCAGCAGUGGGGAAUUUUGGACAAUGGGCGCAAGCCUGAUCCAGCCAUGCCGCGUGAGUGAAGAAGGCCUCGGUUGUAAGU